rnacentral:lncRNA from 1 species
UUGUUUGCAACUCAAGUGUAACAAUCCAAAAAUAAUAAUCAAAGAAGAGACAAUAGCAUCAUCUAAAAAGAACAAAAUAAGAAUUGAAGGAUAAAAUAUAUGAUUCACAUUCAGCAAACAAUAACAAGAAUAAGAACUAACCCCAGGGACGAAAGGUGAAGAGGGAGGCGGUGUAUCGAAGGAGCGAUGCGAGAUAUUUGAUUUGCUUUAGCAGAAAAGUGAAAUCCUAGAUUUUCUAUUCCCAACUCACCAAGAACCCAAAAUUCAAACAAUUCCCCCUCUCCCCUCUCCCCACUCCCUCCCUGUUCUAAGCCUAGUUCUUCGACAAAAAACAUACACAAUGAGAAGGCCACUCAUCUGCAUGCACUGGCCGAUGUCUUCCUCGUCGCCAACAUUGUUAUGGACUUCGGAGAAGACCUGAGAGUACAACGGCCGUCGGGAAAGGCGGCUCGAUAUCGGAGAUGACGGCGAGGCACUGGGACACCGAUGGUCGACGGACAGCGGGAGACUGUGGCUUUGGAACCCGCAGAUCUGGAGCCUUGGGGAACAGGGAGCACUGCGGCACUGGCUUUGAGGUUUGUGCGAGACUCUUUGGCAUGGAUAUGAUUUUUUUUUUCAGGUGCGUGACAAGGGUGAUGUAAGAAAGACAUAGA